UACGUAGGGGGCAAGCGUUGUCCGGAUUCAUUGGGCGUAAAGAGCUCGUAGGCGGCUUGGCAAGUCGGGUGUGAAAACUUCAGGCUCAACCUGGAGCGGCCACUCGAUACUGCCAUGGCUUGAGUCCGGUAGGGGACCACGGAAUUCCUGGUGCAGCGGUGAAAUGCGCAGAUAUCAGGAGGAACACCGAUGGCGAAGGCAGGUCUCUGGGCAUUAACUGACGCUGAGGAGCGAAAGCAUGGGGAGCGAACAGG
rnacentral:rRNA from 1 species